rnacentral:tRNA from 1 species
ACUAUUUUGGCAGAAAAAUGUAAUGAUUUUAGAAUUCAUUAAUAUAUAAUUUAUUAUAUAUAUAGUA